AUGUCAUUCGUCACGAUGCUGAUGGCCCGCAUCGUAUUCGUGAUGAGGCGAUUUGAGAAUAGAAGGCCACGUCGUGGGACGCUUGUUGAUGACAGCAACUGGAGGGAAGUAGUCUUUGCCAACAGUUAUGGCCUGCUCAUCGGGUACCUAUCCAUGGCCGUCAAGGGCCUGGGUUUUCUGGUGCUUACUUGGACCACCGUAGUUCUUCUGGGUGGCUACGUCUCUACACUGAAGAAGAAGGAUUUUUGGAGUCUUGCAUUCAUUACCUUAGUACAGACAGCUGGGAUCUUCGACGUUCUUCUGACUGAAAAGCUGAGCUAUAUUUGGGAUUCAGUUUUGGCCAUUUUAUCUAUUCGCUAUGCCGUGAUUGACAACAACCCUUUGCAGCGUAAACGCCAGGUGCUAGCAAAUGUUCUAGCGCUUGUUCAACUAGUAUUAUUUGUCAUUCUCUUGUGCCCUCUGGCAGCUGUCUACAUGUUUGGGUUGUUAAUCUCUUCGGGGAUUUCUGUGUGGCGUCUGAUACAACACGAUUACGGGCGUGAUGCUGACGGACUUGGAAACCUGAAGCCAGCGCUGGACGUCCUGUAUUCCAUUGCUCUACUCCAGGGUGUGAUUUUCUGCUACAAAACCGUAUUUGGUUUUGCGGAGGGACCUGUGGUGAACAGAAUAGUUAAAGCAAGGGAGUUUGGUGAUGAGGCUCGUGUUGGAAUCUCGGACUACUUACUCGAAACUAUUGUGGGAUGCGAAAAGGACCCAUCGUUCGCAAGAGGAAGAAACCUCAUCACAUAUGCUAUUGACCUGAUGUGGUCCAAGUCACCUAAUGAUUAUGUUUCAGGGGUCAGGAUCCUGGAUGCGUUCGCCAGACGAAUGGAGAUGGUCGGCAAGAAAUACAAUGAAGAAAAUAUCACGUACGAUCAGUGGACAUUGAAGAGGUUCAUGGAGGAGCACAUACUCAUGAAGCAUCAGAUCAUGUCUGCGUCCUCCGCCGUACUCCAGAAACUGCUGCAGACUUUAAGCUUGAGAAGCAUGUGUGACAGAGAGACGAGGGGGUGUGCCGCGAGGAUUGUGGCCAACAUUGCUCAAGGCAUCCGUCUGGACGAGUUCCCAAGGGGGGUUGACUACAUAUCUUCCCUCAUCAACACAUUCCAAGCAUACAGUUUACUCCAACCUUACCAGCUAGAAUGGGCACAGGAGAUAUAUCAGCAAAAAUGGGACAAAAUGGCUCCCCAUCUGCGGUCACUUGAUCGUGAUGCUAAAGGGGACAGUGAUGGUGAACUUCUUAACGCCCACAAGGAGCUAAUGGUGCAAGGUUUUCGUAUCCUUGGCAAGCUCGCGACCAAUAAUGACAACUGCAGAAUCAUGCUCGACACCCCGCGUCUGCUCCAAAAGAUCAUGGCUCCUGUGACCUCUGACCUACUCCACCAAAUCGAUCAUGAUGCAUGGCAUAGCAUAGUAGAGGGUUCGCUCAAAGUGAUUAUCAACCUCAUGGUGGCUGCUACUGGGAAGACUGGCACCAUGCUGCGCAGCAAAAUCUCAAGCAGUAAGGAAGCGAUCAGCACCAUUGGGAGGAUUCUCGAGUGUGACAAAUGUGAUCAAAAGCUGCAGGAAUAUGCUAUUCUGGUUCUCAGGUUCCUAUACAUGGAUACAUCUUUGAUCCUCGAGAAUGCAGGCAGAGAAAAAUUCAUAGAGAUGCUGCUAGUAGACAUUAUGACUGAUGACAACAAGGACAAGGAGGACAGACGAGCGGCAGCAGCUAGUGCGUUGAUAGCUCUAUGCUCCAAAACUGAAACGGGUGCCAAGAGUAUCAUUAUGGCCAACGAUAAUGUUGUUAACAAUCUCACUAUAAUGAUUCUUGAAAAUGGUACAUUCCGAUUAAUUGCAACAAAAAUCCUGGAAUAUCUAUGUAUUCAUUGUACUAGUACCAAUGAUGAUGAAAAUGUCAAAAGGCUAAAGAAAGUCAUGACAGAUGCAGUUACAAAGUUUGUUGGGCAUCAGAAGAAACACAAACAGGAACUUUAG
rnacentral:rRNA from 1 species